UGGGGAAUAUUGCACAAUGGGCGAAAGCCUGAUGCAGCAACGCCGCGUGAGGGACGACGGCCUUCGGGUUGUAAACCUCUUUAGCAAGGAAGAAGCGAAAGUGACGGUACUUGCAGAAAAAGCGCCGGCUAACUACGUGCCAGCAGCCGCGGUAAUACGUAGGGCGCAAGCGUUAUCCGGAAUUAUUGGGCGUAAAGAGCUCGUAGGCGGUUUGUCGCGUCUGCUGUGAAAACCCGAGGCUCAACCUCGGGCCUGCAGUGGGUACGGGCAGACUAGAGUGCGGUAGGGGAGAUUGGAACUCCUGGUGUAGCGGUGGAAUGCGCAGAUAUCAGGAAGAACACCGAUGGCGAAGGCAGAUCUCUGGGCCGUAACUGACGCUGAGGAGCGAAAGGGUGGGGAGCAAACAGGCUUAGAUACCCUGGUAGUCCACCCCGUAAACGUUGGGAACUAGUUGUGGGGUCCAUUCCACGGAUUUCGUGACGCAGCUAACGCAUUAAGUUCCCCGCCUGGGGAGUACGGCCGCAAGGCUAAACUCAAAUGAAUUGACGGGGUCAUAGCUGUUUCCU
rnacentral:rRNA from 1 species